CCCUUAGAUGUUCUGGGCCGCACGCGCGCUACACUGAUGCAUUCAACGAGCCUAUCCUUGACCGACAGGUCCGGGUAAUCUUUGAAUCUGCAUCGUGACGGGGAUAGAUUAUUGCAAUUAUUGAUCUUGAACGAGGAAUUCCUAGUAAACGCGAGUCAUCAGCUCGCAUUGAUUACGUCCCUGCCCUUUGUACACACCGCCCGUCGCACCUACCGAUUGAAUGUUUCGGUGAAGAUUCCGGAUAGGACUUUUUUGAUUUAUUUCAAUUUUGUCUUAAAAGCUAUCUAAACCUCAACAUUUAGAGGAAGGUGAAGUCGUAACA
rnacentral:rRNA from 1 species